UUAAUUCUUUCAGUUGAGCGGCUGCGCGCGUUAAACCGCGCAGUCGUUUUUCUUGUGAACUGGGGUCGUUGCUUAAGCGUUUAAUCGCUUAAAUGGCGGCCUGUCGUUAAUGCUCUUGUGUUAAUUUUUUGUUUGUUUUUGCUUUUUUAAGCCUAACCGCUUAAGAAAAUAAUUACAAGA
rnacentral:misc_RNA from 1 species